GAUGAACGCUGGCGGCGUGCCUAAUACAUGCAAGUCGAGCGAACAGACGAGGAGCUUGCUCCUUUGACGUUAGCGGCGGACGGGUGAGUAACACGUGGGUAACCUACCUAUAAGACUGGGAUAACUUCGGGAAACCGGAGCUAAUACCGGAUGAUAUUUCGAACCGCAUGGUUCGAUAGUGAAAGAUGGCUUUGCUAUCACUUAUAGAUGGAUCUGCGCCGUAUUAGCUAGUUGGUAAGGUAACGGCUUACCAAGGCAACGAUGCGUAGCCGACCUGAGAGGGUGAUCGGCCACACUGGAACUGAGACACGGUCCAGACUCCUACGGGAGGCAGCAGUAGGGAAUCUUCCGCAAUGGGCGAAAGCCUGACGGAGCAACGCCGCGUGAGUGAUGAAGGUCUUCGGAUCGUAAAACUCUGUUAUUAGGGAAGAACAAACGUGUAAGUAACUGUGCACGUCUUGACGGUACCUAAUCAGAAAGCCACGGCUAACUACGUG
rnacentral:rRNA from 1 species